UGCAAGUCGAACGAUGAAGCCUUUCGGGGUGGAUUAGUGGCGAACGGGUGAGUAACACGUGGGCAAUCUGCCCUUCACUCUGGGACAAGCCCUGGAAACGGGGUCUAAUACCGGAUAACACUCUGUCCUGCAUGGGACGGGGUUAAAAGCUCCGGCGGUGAAGGAUGAGCCCGCGGCCUAUCAGCUUGUUGGUGGGGUAAUGGCCUACCAAGGCGACGACGGGUAGCCGGCCUGAGAGGGCGACCGGCCACACUGGGACUGAGACACGGCCCAGACUCCUACGGGAGGCAGCAGUGGGGAAUAUUGCACAAUGGGCGAAAGCCUGAUGCAGCGACGCCGCGUGAGGGAUGACGGCCUUCGGGUUGUAAACCUCUUUCAGCAGGGAAGAAGCGAAAGUGACGGUACCUGCAGAAGAAGCGCCGGCUAACUACGUGCCAGCAGCCGCGGUAAUACGUAGGGCGCAAGCGUUGUCCGGAAUUAUUGGGCGUAAAGAGCUCGUAGGCGGCUUGUCACGUCGGAUGUGAAAGCCCGGGGCUUAACCCCGGGUCUGCAUUCGAUACGGGCUAGCUAGAGUGUGGUAGGGGAGAUCGGAAUUCCUGGUGUAGCGGUGAAAUGCGCAGAUAUCAGGAGGAACACCGGUGGCGAAGGCGGAUCUCUGGGCCAUUACUGACGCUGAGGAGCGAAAGCGUGGGGAGCGAACAGGAUUAGAUACCCUGGUAGUCCACGC
rnacentral:rRNA from 1 species